UUUAGUGUUACAUAAACUGCUGUAAAUACCUUAGCGAAGGAUGUAAAAAUGUCAAGAAAGAACAUGUCUUGAAAGCGUAACUGUUGGGAUGGAAUCAAAGUACGCCUCAUCAUCUCAUAGGUGAAGUUGAAAGAUUCAGUGAUAUAGUAUAUGACAUAUACUAGGCCAGCUCCAUAAAGUAUAGCCUGCAAAAAGAUGAAAAUAACAACAAUUAGAUAACAUGAGUAGAAAGGCUUUCAACCAUGGACAAAUUGAUGAAGGUUUAUUUGAAGUAAUCUUAUGUCUUUCAGUGCUUGAAAGUAUCUGGAAAGGGAGGAACCCGAUACUACAAGAAUGUCGGUUUGGGAUUUAAGUCUCCCAGAGGAGCUAUUGAGUGAACAUUACAUUGACAAGAAAUGACCCUUUACUGGUGACAAGAAAUGACCCUUUACUGGCAACGUUUCUAUCCGGGGAUCGGAUCCUAGCAGAGAUUUGAUAUUGUGAAUGGCGUGGUCAAAGACAAGUUAGAAAAGAGGUUGAGACUGACAAAGAAGCAGAUAAAGAUGCAAAAGGUGGUUUUCAUUAUAUAUUAGACCUAACAAGAGGGAGUUCAACACAUUGGAUAGGCUAGAACUCAUAAGUCGUGGCAACGUGGUUUUGCAGAGUGCAGAGAUCGCCUAUGGGAUAAGAUGACUGCAACCAGCUAUGUUUUUACUUUUACAUACUUAUUACAUUUGUAUAAGCACGUAACAGUCAGGUAUAUGUUGUCAAUUGUACUGGGACGUGAAUAUUAUAAUGCGACAUUUAGCAGUUUUGGAAUGUUGAAUUUUAUGUAAGAGAACAUCCUAUUUGUGUUCAACUAAUAACAUUCUUUACAGGUUUUGGAGACAAGUCC